GGGCAUUCGGACGGCUUGCUAUCUGGGCUACAAGCAGAGAACUCGGUUUCUCCUCCCCGCCCAGGGGAAAGUCCCCGGACACGAGGCAGAAAGUGCCGUGGGUAGAUCCGCCGUCGGCUCGCGCUCUACCGCCUAAAGCGGAGACGUUCACGUGAACCGAGCUUGGUAGCUGCUAGCCGACUUUGUCAGCGUCGAUAGGAAUGCAAGUGGGCUGGAAGCUCGAACAGAACGGGGCUCAUUCUCAGAAUGCU
ensembl:ribozyme RNase_MRP RNase MRP